ACAACCAUGACUCUGACUGGCCAGAAAAUAGAUCACUAUCAGUCAGUUACAAAACAGAACAAAGAUAUUCAGGUACUAGUAGACUCUAGGCUGGACUCGGCUGAGCUGAUCUAGCGCCAUCUGUGGUCUUCUAGCAUGUUGCUCCCACAACCUGUUGAAAUGACCUGUUCACGGGCCCAACUUCCCCCAGGUCCAUAAACUGUGGACGGAUAGGGCCAUGUCUUCUUACCUUUAUGCCCAGUAGACAACACGUGUUAAAUAAUAGCAACAGCUUUUCCAUGUGUUAAAUGCUCUCUCUUCACCCACACUUGACAUAUUAUCUUGUUGAAUCCUUCCAACAAUCCAACCUUCUAGGGUAAGCAUUAUGAUCACCAUCUUACAAACAAGGAGCUCGAAACUCAGAAAAGUUAAGUCAUUUUUCCAAGAUCACACAGCUAGGCAGUAGAACAGCAAGAUCCAUCUGGGUAUAAGGCUCUUUUUUUUUUUCUUCAGCUAAGAUAGCAGAAAAGGUGAUCGAUUGUACACAUGUUGCAUUCAACCAAACAUGAAAACAGAAUUAGUCCCAAAAGUCACAGGUCCAGAGCAAGGGACAAAAAAAGGACUAUUUGGUAUGAGCAAGGCAGAUCUCCCCCAAAGGUAGUUGUUGUAAUCGGAUGGUAAGGGGUGUUCUAGAUCCAUUGAAUCAAGCUCUAGAAAGUAGGCAUGUGGUCCAACAAUUAGCACCAGCGUCCCUGGUCUCUGGCUUCCUUAUUUCUGCUCCUGUGGCUUCCACGGGUUCACAAGCUGGCGGUUUACUUGGACCUCUGCCUCAUCUUUCUUCUGUUACUCUCAGCCUGAGCAUUCGUUUCUUCCUCCACUUGGCUUUCCUGAAGUGCACACGUCUGACCUCAC